rnacentral:lncRNA from 1 species
UUUGUUUCAUUUUCUGAUUAAUAAACUCUCUCUUCUAGAGAGUUCUCUCAGACGCUUCUCCUUCUCUCUAAAUUCUCUCACUACAUUCUCCAUGAUUCUUCAGUUUAAUCUCAAAGUUUUCAUGGUAUCAGAGCCUCGAUGAUGAUCCUAGUAUGUUUUUCUGCAUCUUGUUAUCUUGGUUGAAGUAUUCUUUGAGAUUUUUGGGGGUGUUUCUGACGUAUGUGGUCGAUGAUGAUUCCGAUCUAAAUUGGAUGCUUUUCUGAGACUCCCAUCGUGAUAUCUGAGUAUAUUUUCUUCACUCGAACGUUCUGGGAGAUUUUCCGAUGAUUUUUGGGUGACUUUUCGGUGACCUAUCGGCUUCUAGGGUUUCUGGUGGUUUAACCUUGGGUUUUACUGCUAUCCGGUGGCUCGAUCCUCACUCAGUGGAUGUUUAG